GACGAACGCUGGCGGCGUGCUUAACACAUGCAAGUCGAACGGAAAGGCCCUGCUUUUGUGGGGUGCUCGAGUGGCGAACGGGUGAGUAACACGUGAGUAACCUGCCCUUGACUUUGGGAUAACUUCAGGAAACUGGGGCUACUACCGGAUAGGAGCUCCUGCUGCAUGGUGGGGGUUGGAAAGUUUCGGCGGUUGGGGAUGGACUCGCGGCUUAUCAGCUUGUUGGUGGGGUAGUGGCUUACCAAGGCUUUGACGGGUAGCCGGCCUGAGAGGGUGACCGGCCACAUUGGGACUGAGAUACGGCCCAGACUCCUACGGGAGGCAGCAGUGGGGAAUAUUGCACAAUGGGCGGAAGCCUGAUGCAGCAACGCCGCGUGCGGGAUGACGGCCUUCGGGUUGUAAACCGCUUUCGCCUGUGACGAAGCGUGAGUGACGGUAAUGGGUAAAGAAGCACCGGCUAACUACGUG
rnacentral:rRNA from 1 species